rnacentral:rRNA from 1 species
AACGAACGCUGGCGGCAGGCCUAACACAUGCAAGUCGAACGGCAGCUCAGCAGUAGCAAUACUGUGGGUGGCGAGUGGCGGACGGGCGAGGAAUACAUGGGAAUCUGCCCUGUCGCGGGGGAUAACGUAGGGAAACUUACGCUAAUACCGCAUACGACCGAGAGGUGAAAGCGGCGGACCGCAAGGCGUCGCGCGAUUGGAUGAGCCCAUGUCGGAUUAGCUAGUUGGCGGGGUAAAGGCCCACCAAGGCGACGAUCCGUAGCUGGUCUGAGAGGAUGAUCAGCCACACUGGAACUGAGACACGGUCCAGACUCCUACGGGAGGCAGCAGUGGGGAAUAUUGGACAAUGGGCGCAAGCCUGAUCCAGCCAUGCCGCGUGAGUGAAGAAGGCCUUCGGGUUGUAAAGCUCUUUUGUCCGGAAAGAAAAGUUCGCGGUUAAUACCCGCGGAUGAUGACGGUACCGGAAGAAUAAGCACCGGCUAACUUCGUGCCAGCAGCCGCAGUAAGAC